GCUGGAACAGCAGGUCCAGUGUGCACUGGCCCAUUUGAUGUGGUCAAAACAAGGCUAAUGGCUCAGAGUCGAGAGGGGGGCAAUCUGAAGUACAAAGGCAUGAUCCAUGCUAUCAGAACAAUAUAUGCUGAGGAAGGGCUUCUUGCCUUGUGGAAGGGACUGUUGCCUCGGCUGAUGAGAAUCCCACCUGGCCAGGCCAUAAUGUGGACUGUGGCUGACCAAAUUACUGGUCUCUAUGAGAGGAGAUAUAUACACAAUGCUCCCUUGUAGGUAAUGUUUACAUUGUUUUGCUUGUUCUGGUCUCUAGUCACCUAGCUAGGCCAUGACUGACUCAUGAGAGGAAGACAACUUUGGAGGUAUUUGCUUGCAUUGUUUUGCUUGUUCUGGUUUUAAAGUCCAUUGCAAGCGUGUAAUAAUAAAUUUCUUUAGUUUUUCUUCUUGAUUUGGUUGUUUAGAAGACACUGAAAUAUGAAAUGGAUAGCCG
rnacentral:misc_RNA from 1 species